ACCAGGGGCUCAAAGUCAGAGACAACAUCAUCAACCGGAACUUUAGACGUUAAUUUACACAUCAGAUGAUUCUGGCAUUGGUUCCUGUAAUGACUUCGCCACCGGAUUUUCAAAGACAACAUCAGAUGGGAGAUGAUUUUAUCUACAGUCUGAAAGUGAAGAAUCCCAGACUGAAAGUGAAGAAUCCCAAUGUGAUCAUGUCGCUGGCAUUGUCUUUCAACUGUGCUGACUUUGAAAAACAGACAAAGAAACGUUCACAUGAUGGUAUUUCACAAUCCUCUAUUUUGAAAAUGAUGAAUAGGACACCUAAUGAAGAUAAACUGAUGUUUUGAAUAGAAUUGCCUUUCAAAGACCAUACAUCCAGAUUUUCAUUUUUGCUGAAUUCCAA